rnacentral:rRNA from 1 species
CCGCGACCCUAGGUCAGGCGGGACUACCCGCUGAGU